GACGAACCGUGCGAACGUUUAUUCGGAAUCACUGGGCUUAAAGGGCGCGUAGGCGGGCUCGCAGGUCAGGGGUGAAAGCCCACGGCUCAACCGUGGAAGUGCCUUUGAUACCGUGAGUCUCGAGGGAGGUAGGGGCGUGCGGAACUUCCGGUGGAGCGGUGAAAUGCGUAGAUAUCGGAAGGAACAUCGGUGGCGAAAGCGGCGCGCUGGACCUCUUCUGACGCUGAGGCGCGAAAGCCAGGGGAGCAAACGGG
rnacentral:rRNA from 1 species